UAAAAAACACUGAAAUCCAGCAUGUACCCCAUUUCCCACUCUGAACUUCAUUUUUGGUGUUUGAUUUUUAGCGGAAAAUCUAGGGUUCCCUCUGCUCAACUCCCUCUCUCGCUCCCGCCCCCAAAUCCCUCACUCCUUCUCCUCUUCCUCCCGCUCUCAUCCUCAUCUAUUGAGUUCCAGCGAGCUCGAACUUCAUUUCUCUUGUGCGAUUUUCGCGGAAAAUCUAGGGUUCCCUCUCCUCAACUCCCUCUCUCGCUUCUGUCCCUAAAUCCCUCGUGCCUUUUCCUCUUCCUCCUGCUCUCAUCCUCAUCUGGAGUUCCAGCGAGCUCGAACCUUGGGUUUGUGUUGAUUUUGCAGUUGAUUUAGAAUUUGAGAACAGAUCUCGUGUUCUUGUGGGUGAUUUUCCAAGCUAUUGAGAUUGAGGUAAUGGUUGUUGGCUUCUUGUGGUAUAUAAUGCUCGGUUUGAGCUUAAUGACAGAUGGCUUUCUUUGGUACUUAAUUCUGGUAUGGGUUCUUUUUGUUCAUGUUUAUUUAGAUGGACAAUGAUGAUGAUAACGAACUGAGAAUACAGGUUAUAUUUAUUAUGUAAUGUUUAGGCGAGGCAAUUUUGUGUGGAAUGCAACCUACAUUGAUAUUAUAAUGUUUGGGUGAGGCAAUCCCUCAGAAGAGUAGCCUACAUUACAUCAUAGUUUUAUAGGUGAGACAAUCUUUUGUGACCAAUCUAUUUAUAUCCUGAGCCCUAGUAAGUAUUCAUGGAUUAUGGUGUUGAUUUUGAGCUUGUUUAGCUCUAUAUUGUGUGAGAAUUGGUGCUAUUUUGAGCACUAUUUGAGUUUAUGGUACUGUUUUUGAUGUUA